AUGAACGCUGGCGGCGUGCCUAAUACAUGCCAGUCGAGCGAACAGACGCGGAGCUUGCUCCUCUGACGUUAGCGCCGGACGGGUGAGUAACACGUGGAUAACCUACCUAUAAGACUGGGAUAACUUCGGGAAACCGGAGCUAAUACCGGAUAAUAUAUUGAACCGCAUGGUUCAAUAGUGAAAUACGGUUUUGCUGUCACUUAUAGAUGGAUCCGCGCCUUAUUAGCUGGUUGGUAAGGUAACGGCUUUCCAAGGCAACGAUGGGUAGCCGAGCUGAGCGGGGGAUCGGCCCCACUGGAACCGAGACGCCGUACCGGGUCCUACGGGAGGCCGAAGUAGGGAAUGUUCCGAAAUGGGGGGAAGGUUGAACGAGGGACGGCGGGUUGGUGAAGCAAGGCCUCGGGUCGGAAAACUCCUUUCUUGGGGAAGAGCAAAUGUGUAAGUAACUAUGCACGUCUUGACGGUACCUGAUCAGAAAGCCACGGCUAACUACGUG
rnacentral:rRNA from 1 species